UGACUUUGAAAUAGAAGUAACUUCUUCAUGUACUCCUGGUGAAGAAGUAAGCUUGAACCAAGAAUGUACGUUCUCUUGUCCGCCUGGUUACGAUCUGACUGGGCCAUCUUUUGUCACAUGCGAAAGCUCUGAACAGUUCUCGGAUCUAUUUCCCGAAUGUCAGAUCGUGACGUGCACUGUAACUUUAUUUGGAGACAAAGUAAGUUCAUCGUGUACACCUGCCACUCAAGUAGACUACCAAGAAGAAUGUACCUUUUCUUGUCCAGCUGGUUAUGAGCUGAUCGGACCGUCAUCCGUUACCUGCACGAGCUUUGGAGGUUUCUCAGACGUAUUUCCCGAAUGUGAGGCAACUUGCACCGUACCUGACUUUGAAAUAGAAGUAACUUCUUCAUGUACUCCUGGUGAAGAAGUAAGCUUGAACCAAGAAUGUACGUUCUCUUGUCCGCCUGGUUACGAUCUGACUGGGCAAUCUUUUGUCACUUGCGAAAGCUCUGAACAGUUCUCGGAUCUAUUUCCCCAAU
rnacentral:lncRNA from 1 species